GAGACGAUGACAGCCCAAGGGCGCUUCCCACAUCUGUUGCUGCGACUGUGGGGAAGACGGAAGAGGGACGGAGUGUUCCCCUGGACCGCAGGGACUCAUCCCGCCAGCGACCCGGAACCUUCGGGACCCGCGGGCCAAGAAAAAACCUUUUCCCUUGCUUUCCUGCCGGGGCUGCAGAAGCCGGGCGAAUUCAGCAGGAGGUAGGGCUCCAAGCGCCAGGACCGCGGCUAAGGGCGCAGUGGCCACCCAGAGAGGGCGCGGACUCCCACGGGCUCCUGUGGUUCCCGCCCACUCUCCAGCGAGCGCUUUUGUUCCCUGAGCGUGCCCUCGGGAUAGACAACCCUUACCCCAGCCAUCGACGACGGAGAGCCCAGUGCCUGACCCGGCAGCCUGAAGCCCGAGUUGCUCCUGGCAAGGUCCUCCAAUAACUGGGGUAGGAGCCACGACUCCGGGUUCAGCCUCCGAGCUCAGCUAAAAGAUUGAGCGCUUGUCGUCUAGCGCCGCCAGGCGCGCAGUAGCAGUCUAAUGACUAUAAUGUUAAUGGUACAGUUACGGAGGGGCUGGAGAAUCGGAACUAAGAUACCACCCCCACCGCUGCCCACGUCUUUGAUCGUUAAAGAAACAGGCCCCUAAUCAGGACCUCCUCUGCCUCUG